GUGUGGAAUGGCUGAAUGAAGAACAC
rnacentral:piRNA from 1 species